rnacentral:misc_RNA from 1 species
UUGAAUUUGGGUUUCCAUAUUCUCUUACACCUGUGCACCUUUUGUAGAUCAUUAACUUGGUCUAUGUUUUUAUUAACACUCAUAAAUGUAAAAGUGAAUGGAAGUGAAUUAAUAAUUA